rnacentral:rRNA from 1 species
AAUCUGCCCUUCUGCCUGGGAUAACAGUUGGAAACGACUGCUAAUACCGGAUACGCCCUUCGGGGGAAAGGUCCGCCGCAGAAGGAGGAGCCCGCGCUUGAUUAGCUUGUUGGUGAGGUAAUGGCUCACCAAGGCAACGAUCAAUAGCUGGUCUGAGAGGAUGAUCAGCCACACUGGGACUGAGACACGGCCCAGACUCCUACGGGAGGCAGCAGUGGGGAAUAUUGGACAAUGGGGGCAACCCUGAUCCAGCAAUGCCGCGUGUGUGAUGAAGGCCUUAGGGUUGUAAAGCACUUUCACUGGUGAAGAUGAUGACGGUAACCAGAGAAGAAGCCCCGGCUAACUUCGUGCCAGCAGCCGCGGUAAUACGAAGGGGGCGAGCGU